CUGGCCAUGCUUCCUCCCGCAGUGUGAACCGUCUCCUUUUGUUGCUGCUUUGAGGUCUGGUUAGGUGGUUAUUAUGUGCUCGCCGAAUCCACUGCAUCUUCGCCUCAACCCACUCUCCAACCCUCCUAUCCCCACUUAGAUUUGAAGUUCCUUGGGGAGGUAUACCUUUUUUUUGUUUUUGUUUUUGUUUUUGAGACGGAGUCUCCCUCUGGAGUGAGUGCAGUGGCACGAUCUUGGCUCACAGCAAGCUCCGCCUCCGGGGUUCACGCCAUUCUCCUGCCUCAGCCUCCUGAGUAGCUGGGACUAUAGGCGCCCGCCACCACGCCUGGCUAAUUUUUUUGUAGAGAUGGAGUUUCACCGUGUUAGCCACCAUGGUCUCGAUCUGCCAGGAGUUCCAGCAAUGCGAGAUUUCUGUGAAGGAUUUAAACAAGAGAAAAAAAAAGGAGAAGUAAGCAGCCUGCAAAGAAAUGUUUAGAAAAUUCCAAGUGGGUGAAGCUUGCAGGAUUUGAUGAGAUGAAUUGGUGAAUAGCUUUGUGACAGACCUUCGUUCAAGAUCCAUUCAAGGAUAGAAGACAAUUGCAUUGAAUGGUUGAAUAGGGAGAUUUCUCAGGAGAAUGUUGCUGGGUGCCGUUGAAUAUUUACUCUCCCACAUCCUUGCCUGGCAGGAGGGCCUGUAAGGAGGCUAUUCUAUGAGCUUGUAUCAUCUCCCUGGAUUCUAGGAGCAAAUUACGAAGCAAAUGUUGGACCUCUGCCUGUGAAAACCACAGGUCCAAGACACUGAGAGGAACCAGGAACCACGCCUGAAGAGCUUCCUUUAGGAUUUCUUGUGAGACAAGUCAGCUUUUAUUUGUCUGGAAAAGUCUUUAUCUCACUUUUAUUUGUGAAGAACUGCUUUGGCAGUUCUCAAGAGUAACUGUAGAAUGUACUGGGAAGGCAACAUCCUGAGAGAAGAAAGGACUGGCUAGAACAGCCCAGGCCGUGUUCCAGUUUCUUGGAAACAGAAUGUCUUUCAAUGUUUUGUCCAGGGGGUAACUUCACCUUGGAGUAUAAAACCCAGGGUGGACUGCUUUUGCGGGUCCCUAGCUGAGGUACAAGUGUGGCAUGCACAGACAGGACUACACCUCCCCCGAGCAGUUUUCCCCAGCCUUGGAGGACUAGCUUGCCAUGAAUCCCAG